ensembl:lncRNA
GCAGGAGUUUGGGUUUUCUUUUAAUAAUGUUCAGGAAUACACAAAACAAACAGGCACACAAGCACAAUGACCAACACUGACAGGGAGAAAAUGGCCAAACUAAAUACACAGAAACAGGUGGGGGCUAAACACAGGUGAAAGGAAUAUACUAAUCAACCGAAACAGGAAAAACCAUACAAGGACAAGACAAGGACAAACAGAAAACACAAAGUGGAACAGUACCCCCCCCCCCCCCAAAGGCGCGGACACCCGGACGCGCCAAAACAACCAAAGGGGAGGACGGGCAGGGCACGAAGGCGGAGGCUCAGCCCCGGGAUGGGGACCAGGGACAGGAACAGGCGGAAGCCCCCUAGCGGAGAAUCGACCAGGUACCCGCAAAGAACCAGGAGCCGGAGCUGGGACAGCCGGCGGCGGGUUUGGGAGCAGGGAGAGCCGACGGUGGGUCGGGAGCAGGGAGAGCCGGCGGCGGGUCGGGAGCAGGGAGAGCCGGCGGCGGGUCGUGAGCAGGGACGGCCGGAGGCGGGUCGGGAGCCGGGACGGCCGGAGGCGGGUCGGGAGCCGGGAGGGCCGGCGGGGCGUCGGGAGCUGGGAUGGCCGGCGGAGGUUCAGGAGCCGGGGAGGACGGCGGGGAGUCAGGAGACUGCAGAGGGCCAGAAGCCGGGGGAGGCGUAGCCGGUGGAGGGUCAGGCGCCGGCGGAGGGUCAGAAGCCAGCGGAGGGCCAGGCGCCGGGGGAGGCGGAGCCGGCAGAGGGUCAGGACUCGAUGGAGGGUCAGGUGCCAGCGGAGGGUCAGGAGCCGGUGGAGGAGCAGGAGCCGGGAGAGCCGGCCGAGGGGCAGGAGCCAGCGGAGUGUCAGGAGCCGGGAGAGCCGGCCGAGGGGCAGGAGCCGGUGGAGUGUCAGGAGCCGGGAGAGCCGGCCGAGGGGCAGGAGCCGGCGGAGUGUCAGGAGCCGGGAGAGCCGGCCGAGGGGCUGGAGCCGGCGGAGUGUCAGGAGCCGGCUGAGGGACAGGAGCCGGGGCGACAGGGACAGAAGAGGGAGCCGGUCAGUAGAGGAGAGGAAAGCGCCGCUGCGGCCGCGAGAGGAGAGGAAGGUGCCGCUGCGGCCGGGGCCGGAGAGGAACAGGGACAGGGGCAGGCCGCGGAGCUGGUGCAGGGACAGGGGCAGGCCGCGGAGCUGGAGCAGGGACUGGGGCAGGCCGCGGAGCUGGAGCAGGGACUGGGGCAGGCCGCGGAGCUGGAGCAGGGACUGGGGGAGGGACUGGGGAAGGCCGCAGAGCUGGAACGGGGUGGCUGAAGGCCGCGGAGCUGUAACGGGGGCGGCGGAAGGCCGUGGAGCUGGAACGGGGGCGGCGGAAGGCCGCGGAGCUGGAACGGGGGCGGCGGAAGGCCGCAGAGUAGGUAGCGGGGUGUGCCUAAUGGCCAGCCUACAACCUGGCCAGCCCGCUCGGGGUCAGGGAAGCUGAGGAACGGGGCCGGGGGCAGACCGGAAUGAGUCCAUGGUGGUAUGUUGCCGGCGUUGGCGUCGCCGUGGCUGACGCAGGCCUGUGCUCUGUGAUGGCCACCGGGGGAACCAGCGGUCCAAGGGGUGACAGUAGGGGUCAUCCUCCUCGCAGUCUGAAUCAGGCCAUCCGAGGAGUUCCC